AUGCCUGCAGAAGGCCCGAAUCAGAAGGGGGGUGAAGAGCCCACGCCAGUGGAAAACAAGGCCUUGUUAGCUGACACUGCUUCACCAAAGGCUAAAGGCAAGUUUAAUGGCCAGGAGCAGGGGGGCAAGCAGCAAAAGCCCACGCCGGUGGAAAACAAGGUUUCGCUUGCCAGAAAAGCUGCUCCAAAGGCUAAGGCCAGGUUUAUUGUGGACUCUGGUGCCAGCCGCCAUUUAACAAAGGAUAAGCACCUGUUUAUCUCCUUCACACCUCAAGACGGAGAGAUCCACCUGGCUGAUGGAAGGACGUUGCAAAUUGCAGGAAAAGGGACUGUAAAGCUGGCAAGUCUGCACACUACCAUCAGAGAUGUACUUUUUGUUCCAGGUGCUGCGGACAAUUUGCUCAGUGUCCCACAGCUGAUUGUGCGUGGUUUUGAGGUUUCCUUCAAGAGGAACGUCUGUGUCAUCAGGAAAGGCAAAGAGGACAUUUUGCAUGCAAAGUUUAUAGAUGGUUUAUUCUGUAGAACUUAUGAUGACAAUGCUGUUAUGUCAAAUGUUGAUUCUUGUUGUGUUGCACAAACUAACAAGGUUCUUCAUGCAGGAUGCAUUCAUGAAGCACAUCGAAGAUUUUGUCACAUGUCUUGGCAAGCGCUGGCCAAGAUGCCUGGUUUGGUUGAAGGUUUGAACAUCAAACCUUGUAAGUUUCACAUGAAGUGUGUAUCUUGUGCAGAGAACACGGUGAAGGUUGCUCCAAAAGGCAAGGAGUCUAGCAGGCAGGCUUCCAAACCCUACUACCAGCUAGUGCACGCAGACCUGGUUGGUCCACUUGCAGCCUCUUUGGGAGGAGCAAGGUACUUCAUGGUUCUAAUUGAUUCUUUUUCUAGGUACAUUCAUGUGUUUAUGCUUGAGCAGAAAUCACAAGCAUUUCCUAGGUUCAAGGCAUUCUGUGCUUGGUUGGAGAAUGUUCAUGGUAAACGUAUCGGCUGUCUCUUUACUGAUCGGGGCGGGGAGUUCACUUCUCAGCAGUUUGAAGCUUUCCUGACUGAGAAGGGAAUCCAGCAUGACUUGUCAACGCCUAGAUCGCCAUGGAUGAAUGGACUUGCUGAGCGAGCAAACCAAACUUUGCUUCAAGGCCUGAAAACCUUGUUGCAUGAUGCCAACCUCCCUGAGAAGUUUUGGGGGGAAGCUCUGUCGACGUUUACUUAUUCCUAUAAUCGGAGACUGUCAUCACCUAUAGGUUGCAGUCCCUACGAGAAGAUGUUUGGAAAGAAACCGAACGUCAAGCACAUGAGAAUCUUUGGUUCUGACAUGUGGGUACACACCCCACAAAGCAACAAGCUUGGGAAGCGUGGGGCACAUGGUUUGUUCAUGGGGUACGAAAAAGGUGCAUACAGGGUAUGGAUGACUAACUCUAAGUCCAUUUUCACAAAGAGUGUUGAGUACAAUCCUAAGUGGGGGGGAAAUGUGGGAAUUUUCCAGAGUUACCCAGAGGAGGAUGAAGGUGAUGUGAAAAAAGCAGAUGAUGCUGAGGAAGAUGAGGAGGUGGAUGAUAGUGAUGAUCAGAGUUCGGAUUCCAGUUCAGUUGGUGGCGCUGCUGCUGGUGUCAGCGACAGUGGUGACACAGCAGACUACAAGAGCGCAAAGGCCUCAGUCAGACCAUCUGAUGCGUCUGACAAUGAACUGGAAGAACCACUGUUCACCAUUGGUCGUUUUUCUCCUAAGAAGGAGGAGAUGAGUCCAGAGGACUUGCGUCUGGUCCGCAGGUCUGAAAGGGCGACCAAAGGCAGACCUCCAAAGAGAUUUGCUGAUGAGUUUCCUAAGACUGCAACUGCUGUUCUUAGUAGCUCAGAGAAGGUGUGGGAACCUUCAAGCUUCAAAGAGGUUCAGGAGUUAACCUCUAAAGAUGCUGAGCCUUGGCUUAAUGCCAUGAAGGCUGAAGUUGAUUCCUUGAACAGGAACCAAACUUGGGAGCUGGUACUGGUAGUCCCAGGAAUGAGACUGGUUGGCAGCAAAUGGGUCUUCAAGGCCAAGACAGACCAGAAUGGCAAGGUUGUCAGACACAAAGCCAGAUUGGUUGCCAGAGGUUUUUCACAGGUACCAGGACAGGAUUACCACAAGACCUACUCACCCACCAUGAAAUAUGAGAGCGUUCAACUGAUGCUCAAGAUCGCUGCAGAGGAGAAACUGCAUCUUUCCCAUCAUGACAUCAAUACAGCUUUUUUGUACGGGAUUUUGGGGGAGGAGCUGUACAUGCUUCCACCUGAUGGAAUGCAGAUACAGAAGGGAAUGGUCUGUAAACUGCGGAAAUCCUUAUAUGGUCUCAAGCAGAGUGCCAGGUGUUGGAACACAAAACUCACUGAGACAUUGCUUUCUCUAGGUUUUCACCAGGGCAAAGCUGAUUCGUGUGUGUUUGUCAAGGAGGAGGGGCAAAACAAACUGUAUUGUUUAUGUUUUGUUGAUGAUCUUCUGAUGUUUUGGAAGAAUCAGGCUUUUUACCGAAGCACCCUAGCUCAGCUGAAGGAGCACUUUGACAUGAAGGAUCUUGGUGAGGUAUCCAACUAUCUUUCUCUGCAGGUGGAGAGGGACCAAGCAGGUAAUUUUCUGGUACACCAAACACAGAAAAUUGCUGAUGUAUUAACCAGGUUGAAUUUGGUUGAUGCAAACCCAGCAGACACUCCGAUGGUGACAGGUUACCAGGUAGAUAGUACUGCUGAAGCAUUUUCUGACACUACGCUGUACAGAUGUAUUCUAGGCAAGUUGAAUUUCAUUGCUAGAUGUUCAAGACUUGACAUAGCUGUAAGCACUAACCUGCUUAGCAGACAUGCUAACAAUCCUACUGUUCAGGAUUGGAAAGCUCUGAAGCGCAUAGCCCGCUAUUUGAAAGGGACUAUGCACUACAGGCUGAGGUUCACCAGUCAGAAGACUGGAGGUCUUGAAAUCUUUGCAGAUGCUAGUUUUGGAAGUGACACCACGGAUGUUACAAGCACUUCUGGAGUAUGCUACAUGUACAACCACUGUCUGUUUGACUGGUUGUGCAAGAAGCAGACGACAGUGAGCCUAAGUUCCUGUGAAGCAGAACUCAAUGCUCUGUCAUUUUCACUCAUGGAUUGUGAAUGGUUGAUGCAACUGUUUAAGGACAUCGGAGUUUAUGUGAAAUGUCCUAUACAAGUGUAUCAAGACAAUAGAUCCUGUUUGGCUUUGCUGAACUCAGAGAGUUGCAAGCAAAGAACCAAGUACUUGCAGAUUAAGCUACAUCGUGCAAGAGAGUGUAUUCAAAAGGGACUGAUUCGGGUGUCCUACAUGGCAGGAAAUGAAAUUCCUGCUGAUCUGUUGUCUAAGGUUGUUAACAGAGAACAACUUAAGGUUUACGUACAGAGGUUGCAAUUGGGUUGA
rnacentral:lncRNA from 1 species